rnacentral:rRNA from 1 species
AGCAGCCGCGGUAAUUCCAGCUCCAAUAGCGUAUAUUAAAGUUGUUGCAGUUAAAAAGCUCGUAGUUGAAUUUCGGGAUCAUCAGGUUGGUCGUGCCUCUGGUAUGUACUUGCUUCGAUGGUCCCUCCUUCUUGAAGAACCGUAAUGCCAUUAAUUUGGUGUUGCGGGGAAACAGGACUGUUACUUUGAAAAAAUUAGAGUGUUUAAAGCAGGCAAUCGCUUGAAUACAUUAGCAUGGAAUAAUGAAAUAGGACGUUCGAUCCUAUUUUGUUGGUUUCUAGGAUUGACGUAAUGAUUAAUAGGGAUAGUUGGGGGCAUUAGUAUUCAAUUGUCAGAGGUGAAAUUCUUGGAUUUAUUGAAGACUAACUACUGCGAAAGCAUUUGCCAAGGAUGUUUUCAUUAAUCAAGAACGAAAGUUAGGGGAUCGAAGACGAUCAGAUACCGUCGUAGUCUUAACCAUAAACUAUGCCGACUAGG